GGGCUUAAAAGGGCAGCACACAUAGUAAAUGUGGAACAAUACAGAGAAGAUUAGCAUGCCCCUGCUCGAGAAUAACAUGCAAAUUUGUGAAGCGUUCCAUAUUUUU